UCACAACCUCCUUGAGUGAGCGA
rnacentral:ncRNA from 12 species